rnacentral:lncRNA from 1 species
AUAAUCUUGUAAUUGUUAUGAAUGAUUUAGUGGAUACCCAUUAUAGGCCCAUUAGUCUAUUCACCAUAUUUGUAUCCCAAUAUAUACCAUGUGGUUAUCAAUAGAAUAAACACACAUUUUACCCUUUCAAUCUCUUUCUUAACAUGUUAUCAGCACGCUCUAACCCUAGUCGUCUGAAAAAAAAAAAAAAAAAACCUAACCUUCGAGUUGUUGCGCAACCAUCGCCGUUUCCGACGUUCUUCAUCACCAACAUCACCAACUUCUACUUUUCAGUUUCCUCCAUCGGUAAACAUUACAAAACCUAUCUAAUAUUUAUUAAUCAAAUCAUAGAUUCAUCUCAUAUCAUCGUUUGUAUGAUCUAUUAUAAUUAUAAAUAGUUAUGUUGGU